rnacentral:rRNA from 1 species
UACGGAGGGUCCGAGCGUUAUCCGGAAUUAUUGGGUUUAAAGGGUCCGUAGGCGGGCCAUUAAGUCAGUGGUGAAAGUCUGCAGCUCAACUGUAGAAUUGCCUUUGAUACUGGUGGUCUUGAGUUAUGGUGAAGUGGCUGGAAUAUGUAGUGUAGCGGUGAAAUGCAUAGAUAUUACAUAGAACACCGAUUGCGAAGGCAGGUCACUAACCAUAUACUGACGCUGAUGGACGAAAGCGUGGGGAGCGAACAGGAUUAGAUACCCCGGUA